rnacentral:rRNA from 1 species
UACGAAGGGGGCUAGCGUUGCUCGGAAUCACUGGGCGUAAAGCGCGCGUCGGUGGUUUGUUAAGUUGAAUGUGAAAUCCCCGGGCUCAACCUGGGAACUGCAUGCAAAACUGGCAAGCUAGAGUAUGGUAGAGGGUGGUGGAAUUUCCUGUGUAGCGGUGAAAUGCGUAGAUAUAGGAAGGAACACCAGUGGCGAAGGCGACCACCUGGACUGAUACUGACACUGAGGUGCGAAAGCGUGGGGAGCAAACAGG